GAUGAAGAACGCAGCGAAAUGCGAUAAGUAAUGUGAAUUGCAGAAUUCAGUGAAUCAUCGAAUCUUUGAACGCAUCUUGCGCUCCUUGGUAUUCCUUGGAGCAUGCCUGUUUGAGUAUCAUGAGCAAAUCUCAAAGUCAAUUCCUUUUGUUGAUUCAAUUGGUUUUGCUUUGGACUUGGAGGCCUUGCAGAUUUCACAGUCUGCUCCUCUUAAAUGCAUUAGCUGGAUCUCAGUAAUUAUGCUUGGUUCCACUCGGCGUGAUAAGUAUCACUCGCUGAGGACACUGUUAAAAAGGUGGCCAGGAAAAUACUGAUUGAACCGCUUCUAACGGUCUAUUAAGUUAGACAAUUACCCUUAAGCUUGAUCUCAAAUCAGGUAGGACUACCCGCUGAACUUAAGCAUAUCAAUAAGCGGAGGA
rnacentral:misc_RNA from 1 species